rnacentral:rRNA from 1 species
GACGAACGCUGGCGGCGUGCUUAACACAUGCAAGUCGAACGGAAACGCCCUGCCUUUGUGGGGCUCUCGAGUGGCGAACGGGUGAGUAACACGUGAGUAACCUGCCCUUCACUCUGGGAUAACCUCAGGAAAUUGGGGCUAAUACCGGAUAUGAGCUCCUGCCGCAUGGUGGGGGUUGGAAAGUUUCGGCGUUUGGGGAUGGACUCGCGGCUUAUCAGCUUGUUGGUGGGGUAGUGGCUUACCAAGGCUUUGACGGGUAGCCGGCCUGAGAGGGUGACCGGCCACACUGGGACUGAGAUACGGCCCAGACUCCUACGGGAGGCAGCAGUGGGGAAUAUUGCACAAUGGGCGGAAGCCUGAUGCAGCGACGCCGCGUGCGGGAUGACGGCCUUCGGGUUGUAAACCGCUUUCAGCUGGGACGAAGCGUGAGUGACGGUAAUGGGUGAAGAAGCGCCGGCUAACUACGUG